CAACAUGUAGUUUAAUCAAAUCAUCUCGCUUACACCGAGAAAAUAUCUGUGAAACUCAGAUCAUCUUGA
rnacentral:tRNA from 1 species